GAAUAUUGCGCAAUGGGGGAAACCCUGACGCAGCAACGCCGCGUGGAGGAUGAAGGCCUUCGGGUCGUAAACUCCUGUCAGGUGGGACGAAUACGGUCACGGCAAACAACCGUGACAACUGACGGUACCACCAGAGGAAGCCCCGGCUAACUCCGUCCCAGCAGCCGCGGUAAUACGGAGGGGGCAAGCGUUAUUCGGAAUUAUUGGGCGUAAAGGGCGCGUAGGCGGCUUGGCAAGUCAAAGGUGAAAUCCCUCGGCCCAACCGAGGAACUGCCUUUGAUACUGCUUGGCUUGAGGCCGGGAGAGGGUAGCGGAAUUCCCAGUGUAGCGGUGAAAUGCGUAGAUAUUGGGAGGAACACCAGUGGCGAAGGCGGCUACCUGGACCGAUACUGACGCUGAGACGCGAAAGCGUGGGGAGCAAACAGG
rnacentral:rRNA from 1 species